AGGGGAUGAGAGAGGGAAGAAGAAUUGUCUGUAGAAAGAAUUUCUUUGGAGAAAUGGGCCCAACGUUUUUGUGUUCUUUUUCUUUAAUCUUUUCUGUUGGCCCGAUUUUCUUUUUUGCUGGUCUUGCUUCUCGUAAAAGUUCUUGAGGAAGAGAGAGAGAGGGAGAGAGGGAUGAGAGAGAGAGGGGGGAUGAGAGAGAGAGAGAGGGGAUGAGAGAGAGGGAAGAAAGAAGAAAGAAGGCGAUUUUGUGUUUGUCUUUUCGUUUAAGAAUCUUUAUGAUUGC
rnacentral:RNase_P_RNA from 13 species